ACAUGCUCGAAAUUGGCAAAGAGCAUAUGGGGGGGUUGUGAUGAGGGGAGGAUCCAUGGAACUAGAGUUUGGUUUGGUUCUGUGCAGAUCAGAUCAAGGAACUAGUGUCCGGUUCUGUGCUGCCCAAAGCCAUGCCAACCCCUCCGCAAACGCGUGCUCCCUAUCCGCACUGGUGGUGAACUUCACGCCUUAUCCAUGGUCCCUAGCCUCAUCUCUCCCAUGUGGUUGCAUCUACCGAUGUGAAGGACUUGAGUCGAUCGUGAGAUCAGUGAAGGUACACCGCCCUUGCUUGAUCUCCAUCUGUAUGAUGCCUACAAUUUUCCAGAGAUAUAAGAAGCCCCUGGAGAUGUACUGUCCUGGAUCCCACAGUGCGGUGAACUGAGGAGGAGUGUGUCGUC
rnacentral:lncRNA from 1 species